GACGAACGCUGGCGGCGUGCUUAACACAUGCCAGUCGAACGGAAAGGCCCUGCUUGCAGGGUACUCGAGUGGCGAACGGGUGAGUAACACGUGGGUGAUCUGCCCUUCACUUCGGGAUAAGCCUGGGAAACUGGGUCUAAUACCGGAUAGGAGCCAUUUUUAGUGUGAUGGUUGGAAAGUUUUUUCGGUGUAGGAUGAGCUCGCGGCCUAUCAGCUUGUUGGUGGGGUAAUGGCCUACCAAGGCGGCGACGGGUAGCCGGCCUGAGAGGGUGGACGGCCACAUUGGGACUGAGAUACGGCCCAGACUCCUACGGGAGGCAGCAGUGGGGAAUAUUGCACAAUGGGCGCAAGCCUGAUGCAGCGACGCCGCGGGGGGGAUGACGGCCUUCGGGUUGUAAACUCCUUUCGCUAGGGACGAAGCUUUUUGUGACGGUACCUAGAGAAGAAGCACCGGCUAACUACGUG
rnacentral:rRNA from 1 species